rnacentral:rRNA from 1 species
GACGAACGCUGGCGGCGUGCUUAACACAUGCAAGUCGAGCGGUAAGGCCCUUUCGGGGGUACACGAGCGGCGAACGGGUGAGUAACACGUGGGUGACCUGCCCUUAGCUCUGGGAUAAGCCUGGGAAACUGGGUCUAAUACCGGAUAUGACUCCAUGACGCAUGUUGUGGGGUGGAAAGCCUUGUGCGGCUAGGGAUGGGCCCGCGGCCUAUCAGCUUGUUGGUGGGGUGAUGGCCACCAAGGCGACGACGGGUAGCCGGCCUGAGAGGGCGACCGGCCACACUGGGACUGAGACACGGCCCAGACUCCUACGGGAGGGCAGCAGUGGGGAAUCUUGCGCAAUGGGCGAAAGCCUGACGCAGCGACGCCGCGUGAGGGAUGACGGCCUCGGUGUAA